rnacentral:rRNA from 1 species
GUCUACGGCCAUACCACCCUGAACACGCCCGAUCUCGUCUGAUCUCGGAAGCUAAGCAGGGUCGGACCUGGUUAGUACUUGGAUGGGAGAAUAUCGACUUGUGAUCU